rnacentral:tRNA from 1 species
GCCUUCGUGGUGUAACGGUCACCACACUCGGCGCGUAUUCAAGAGGUUCGAGGUUCGAGUCCCUGCGAGGGCA